rnacentral:lncRNA from 1 species
AGAUAUCAGAGAUCUCUUAAGUUGGGGAGUGACAUGAUUAGGGUUUUGUUGGUGGUAUUUGUUUGUUUGUUUCCCCAGAAAGAUAACUGGAGGCUCUGGAGUUUGAGAAUGGACCCCAGACGGGGUCAGAAACACAGAUAGGAAGACUGGCUGGGUUUGGGCAUUCCUGAGCUAAUCGCUAGGCCUCCACUGCCUUCUAUUGACGCUGGCCUCCUGUGCCUCUGAAGCAAUUGAAAUACAGCUAGUCCAUAUUACAAGUGUAAAAUACAUAGAUUUCAAAGAUGUGGCAUGAAAAAAUGUAAAAUACCUCAGUGUCUGUUAAUGACAUGUUGAAAUGAUAUUUUGAAUAUAUUGGAUUAAGUAAAAUAUUAAGAUUAAUGAUUCCUGUUUCUUUUUACCUUUUUGGGUGGAAUUAUAAGAAAUUAUAUGUAUAUAAUGUGUGUGUAUAUAUAUAUAGAGAGAGAGAGAGAGCGCGCGCUCAUAAUAUAUUCCUAUUGGAUAGUACUGCUCUAGAAUGAGGCAAUAAUGAAAGCAAUCCUGAAGUUCUUGGAAACUUCCUUCCAGAAAACUAUGCAAUCAUCAAAUUUUGGCUUUGGCCAUGUACACCAUAGGUCAUCCAGAACAGCAUUCACCACCAUUUAAUUAAUUAAUUAAUUAAUUAAUUAAUUAAUAUUUAUGAGGAAAACACUAGUAAUUAAGGAAGGAAAACUUUUCAUUGGCACUAAGGUCAAAAAGAAAUUCCAAAAUAAUUCAAUACUUCUUAUAUAAUUUUAAGCUCAGUUUUCUUAAAAGUCUCCUGGCCAAAGAUUCAAAACUAAAAUUAUCUGGAGUAAGUGUAAUAUAUCUUUCAUAUGAGCCUACAUAUGUAUUUUCUUCAGUUGGGGUUUUUACAAAUUAAGCUAAAAUAUACUAACAUAUGGCAAAAUCAUAUAGUUCUAAUAUCCAGAGCUUUCCACAUCUUUUUUUAAAUUCACCACUGUCUUAUUUAAAAAACAAAACCCAGAGUCUUAGAGAGGGUCACACAGCUAUGAAAGACCUGAGGCAAAGCUAGGUGACCCAGUCUCCCCUUCUUUCCAGGCCUGCCCUUUUGUUGCCACACUAGAAAACAAAGUGGUCCAUCCUCCUGCUUUAGGAGGAACUGGUUUGAAAGGGGGUUUGUUCAGAUGCCUUACUGGAUGUGCAUAUUUGGUUAGAGCUGAGCUUCCAAGGAUGGCACCAGCUUAGAUCAACAUUUGCAAUGAUCUGCGCACACACAGGUUGGAGAAGCUCCCACCCAUAUUGCUCUACCUGACCUAUAGGCAGAGAGGGAUGAGGGACUGAUUUUAUCAUUUUAAAUAAGUGGAAUUCCUCUGAGUAGCCAACCAGGUGUAGUCCUGAAGCAGUUACUGUGUUUUUCUCUCCAGUGUUUUUCUCAACACAUCUCUACUGAGCUGGACCAAUUGGGCACCACAAGAGUGAGAAGUGCCUUCAGAUUCUCUACAUCACACUACAAUAGAGGCUGUUUUAGGAAGCCCCUCAGGUUAGGGAGGAGCUUGGCAGUGGGAGAAAAGUGACCUGUGUGUUAGUGUUAAUCCAUUCCUAACAGUUAUUUGAUACUGAAAAUGUUCCCCCUUCACUGCUGGAAGUCCUUCACCUUAGCUAGAGCAACCUGUCACCAUGGCCCCAAUUGCCUCUGGAGGCUACGGUAUUUUCUUGUAUAAUAAGGGCUUCCUAUACUUUGCCCCAGAUCAAAAUUGAACCAUUUAAAAAAGACAUAUUCAAAACGACCCCCUCCAAAAAAACGCUCAUAGAUAGAGAAAACAGAUUGGUGGUUGCCAGAAGCAGAGCGGGGAUGGGGAGGAAUGGGUGUCGGAGGUCAAAAGGUAAACAAACAAACAAACAAAAAAACAAGCCCUGUUAAAGAAAACAGGCAGAUUCUCCACUGAUAAGAGGAUAAACAGAUUACCAUUGAAAAGAAACAUAUCUUACUGUGAUAAAUAGCUUUGCCAUUUGUUAUAGGAGGCAAAGCAGAAGUGAGAGUCAUGGUGUUAUGGCCGAUGAGCACCAAGGGGCUGAAUUUGGGGGGGGGGGGGCGGCGAAGACACUGUGGAGGUCACAUGAGCUAACUUUUUUUUUUUUAAUGUUUUAUUUAUUUAUUCAUGACAGAGAGAGAGAGAGAGGCAGAGACACAGGCAGAGGGAGAAGCAGGCUCCAUGCAGGGAGCCCAACGUGGGACUUGAUCCCCGGUCUCCAGGAUCACACACCCGGCUGAAGGCGGCACUGAACCGCUGGGCCACUGGGGCUGCCCUGAGCAAACGUUUUUAACAGGAGUCUGUUUAAAAACAAAAUUCUGCCGAGUGAAUUUGAAGAUCUAAUUGACUUUAUUAAGUGAUUUGCAAAUUGGGCAGCACCUAGCAAGCAGAAGGAUGCUCCUAGGAGUUAUAUAAAAUGGAGGGUUUUUAUAGGAAAGAGGGUAGGGCAAGGACAUUAUUAGCAAAGGAAAAGAUUGUUACAUCUUUUUGAGGGGGAAGGGACAGCAGGCUUCUUAUCAUGUGGAUUACCCUACUAGAGCUGAUCGGUAAAUUUUAGAUUGACUGUUAAAAGGUCAAUUCUUGGGGGAGGUUCAAACUGCAAUUAGGUCUUGGUUGGCUGUGGUUGGGGACAACGACUUCAUUUUGGGCUGCUAGUUUCUCUUUUAACAAUUACCAAUGGUGAAUUUAACAUUUUAAUAUGGUUUCAAGGCUCAAGAGUUUACCAAAAAUUCUUGUGGCUCAGAGCAAGGUCUGCGGUCUUUAAAAGAACCUCAAGAGAAGGUUCUCAGGCUUAAAAUCAUCUUCUUCCCAUGUGGGAAAAACACCCUGGUGCUGGCAAGUGCUGGGGGUGACCACCUGGAAUUUGCUUGACAUUGCUCUCCUGUGGGUGGCUCUGGGCGUGUCCACCUGAGGUUUUGUGUGCUGGCUGGGAGAGUAAAACAGCAGAGAGCCUCUGGUGGCAAUUGAAGAGCAGUAGUACCAUGGUCUCCAUGGAUCAGUGGGAAACCAGCUACUGGGACCUAACCAGCCCUUGGCUAUAUCAAUUAGGGUCACUCAAAUUGGGUAAUCUGAAGAGAAUUUGAUAAAAGUAAAAAUUUAAAAAAAAGUAAAAAUUUGAUGAUUUACAAAGAUGUAGGAUGGAGGUAGGGAAACCAUAAGGUAAACUGUAGUAUUUGGGGCAGAAGAUAUGGGUACUGAAAUCAAGAGACAAAGAGAGAACACUCGAGAGUGUGCACUUUCGAGCAUAAGCACAGGCUCACUGUAUGGAGUGGCCACACCAGAGCUGUCACCUUCAGUCCUGGCCAGACACAAGGACGGAGCUAGGAAGCAGAAACUCACACCUCUCUGAUCUCCAGCCCUCCACUUUUCUGCCUGACUCCCUACUGGCCUAAUCCAUCUGGAAGACAAAGGACAGGGAGAGCCCAACCUCCUGGGGCAUAGAACAGGACAGAAAAGAAUGGAGAUUGGAUCUAUAGGAACAACAGAAGAUUCCAGCACAGUGGAAUAGAGAAAAAAUCAGGAGCCAAGUGCUGUGUGGAGCAAUCCAGAGCCAAUCCUGAUCCUGAGCAGAUGUGUGUGUGCAUGUGCGGAAAGUGUACUGAGCCUCACAACACACUCUUCUUGUUUUGGGGUGAUGGCAAUGACCCAUGUCCACAAUCGUCUUGUGGACAAGGUGAAACACCAAGGUCCUUGGUCCCCAAAUGUUCCUCCCUACCACCACAUAUCUUCUCCACUCAGGGGUUUGUGCUUGAAAUUCUUCCAUUUUAGCUUUUUCCUUUGAACUAAAGUUUCUGCUAAAUGUAAACUGUCCUUGGCAUUCAUGACUGCAAGUAAGGAAAAAAGGAAGCGAAUGUUUCCUGACUUCCUACUCUGUGCCUACACCCAACGCAAGAGGUGUGACAUUGAUGAAAUCAAUAAAUCACACCACAACCUCAUCAGGCAAGUAUUAUCCACAUAUACAUGAGGAAAAUGAGCCACGGGGUGAGGGAUUAGCCGACCCAUGCUCAAAAUCCACUUUUAGUUAUUUUUAUAAAUUGCUUAGUCCAAAGCCCAUGCACUUAACCACCACCCCAAUGAUUCCCAAACUUUGGAGAUCAUCAGAUUAGCUUCAGAGCUUGUGAAAUAGGUGGGAUCUUUAUUUGAGAGGAAGAUUUAAUGUGAAGAGAAGAGAAAGCUACCCCAGAGAAAAGGAAAUGGUACAGUGGAAGCAAUGAUGGUGUCUUAGUCUGCUUGGGUUGCCUAAACAACAGAUACUGAUUUCUUGCAGUUUUGAGGGCUGGGAUGUCCAAGGUCAAAGUGCUGGCAGAUUUUGUUCUGGUGAGGGCUCUCAUCCUGGCUUUGGCAUGCCUGCUUUCUUCUUCUUCUUUCUUCUUACUUCUUUCUUCUUCUUCAUUAUAUUUAUUUAUUUGAUAGAGACAGCAUACAAGUAGGCAGAGCAGCAGGCAGAGGGAGAGGGAGAAGCUGACUCCCCAUUGAGCAGGGAACCCAAUGUGGGGCUUGAUCCCAGGACCCAGGGAUUAUGAUCAGAGCGCAAGGUAACAGAUACUUAACUGACUGAGUCAUCCAGGUGUCCCAGCAGGGCCACCUUCUUGCUAUAUCCUCCCGAGGUGGAGAGAGAGAGCUCUGGUGUCUCCCUUCUUUUUUUUUUUUUUUUUAAUUUAUUUAUGAUAGUCACAGAGAGAGAGAGAGAGAGGCAGAGACACAGGCAGAGGGAGAAGCAGGCUCCAUGCACUGGGAGCCUGAUGUGGGAUUCGAUCCCGGGUCUCCAGGAUCGCGCCCUGGGCCAAAGGCAGGCGCCAAACCGCUGCGCCACCCAGGGAUCCCUGGUGUCUCCCUUCUUAUAAGGACACCAAUCUCAUCAAGGGAGCCCUACCCUCAUGACCUCAUCCAAACCUGAUUACCUUCCAAAGGUCCCACCUCCAGAUACCAUCCCAUUGGGGCUUACUAUCACUUGUGAAUUUGGGGGCCAAUGUGAACAUUUGGUCCUUAAACAGAAAUCUUGAAGAACUUUGCCUAGGGUAGAUGUACCCUGCUCUUCUGGGUGGUGACAGUGCCCUUGCCCAACACCCCUAGGAAGGGCUCUGAUUAAAAAAAAAAAAAAAAAAAAAAAAAGGAAGGGCUCUGAUGUACUGUCUUCUCUUUUCCCUUCCUUCACUCCACGUGAAAACCCAAUUUUAGUCUUCUAGCUUCAUUGGAUGUCAUAGAAAGCAAUACCCUCAGUAGUGCCAUGUUUGACCUUGAAACUGAUGCUAUGGCGUUAACUCCAUGGGUUUUAUGGGCAAAGCACCUGCAGUUCAAAAUCCACUUAUAAUCUAUGUGACCUUUGCCAAUCACUCUGAAAUUCAAUGUUCUCAUUUGUAAAAUGGAGAUAACACUACCUAUUAUGCAAAACUGACAGCACAAUGUUUGGGACCAUGUUGGACUUAUAGUGAAUAGAGUUGUCCAGAAACCUACCUCCUGGGACACCUGGGUGGCUCUACCUUUGGCUCAGGUCGUGAUCCCAGAGUCCUGGGAUCAAAUCUCACGGCUGGCUCCCCUCCCUGUGUCUCCCUCUGCCUAUGUUUCUCCCUCUGCCUGUCUCUCAUGAAUAAACAAAAUCUUAAAAAAAAAAAAAAAA